rnacentral:rRNA from 1 species
GUGCCAGCAGCCGCGGUAAUACCGGCAGCCCGAGUGAUGGCCGAUCUUAUUGGGCCUAAAGCGUCCGUAGCUGGCUGCGCAAGUCCGUCGGGAAAUCCACCUGCUCAACAGGUGGGCGCCCGGUGGAAACUGCGCGGCUUGGGACCGGAAGGCGCGACGGGUACGUCCGGGGUAGGAGUGAAAUCCCAUAAUCCCGCACGGACCUCCGAUGGCGAAAGCACUUCGAGAAAACGGAUCCGACAGUGAGGGACGAAAGCCAGGGUCUCCAACCGGAUUAGAAACCCCGGUAGUCC